rnacentral:rRNA from 1 species
GGUGGGUGCGCGCUAUAUGCAGUCGAGCGGUUGGUUCUACCUUGCUCUUAUGAAGUUAGCGGCGGACGGGUGAGUAACAAAUGUGUACCCUGCCGUGGGGACUGGCAUAACUCCGGGGAACCUGGGCUAAUACCGGAUCACAUUUUGAACCGCGGGGAUCGAAAUUGAACGGCGGCUUCGGCUGCCACUUAUGGAUGGACCCGCGUCGGGUUAGCUAGUUGGUGAGGUAACGGCUCACCUAGGCAACGAUGCAUAGCCAACCUGACAGGGUGAUCGGCCACACUGGGACUGAAACACGGCCCAGACUCCUACGGGAGGCAGCAGUACGGAAUCUUCCGCAAUGGACGAAAGUCUGACGGAGCAACGCCGCGUGAGUGAUGAAGGCUUUCGGGUCGUAAAACUCUGUUGUUAGGGAAGAACAAGUGCUAGUUGAAUAAGCUGGCACCUUGACGGUACCUAACCAGAAAGCCACGGCUAACUACGUGCCAGCAGCCGCGGUAAUACGUAGGUGGCAAGCGUUAUCCGGAAUUAUUGGGCGUAAAGCGCGCGCAGGUGGUUUCUUAAGUCUGAUGUGAAAGCCCACGGCUCAACCGUGGAGGGUCAUUGGAAACUGGGAGACUUGAGUGCAGAAGAGGAAAGUGGAAUUCCAUGUGUAGCGGUGAAAUGCGUAGAGAUAUGGAGGAACACCAGUGGCGAAGGCCACUUUCUGGUCUGUAACUGACACUGAGGCGCGAAAGCGUGGGGAGCAAACAGGAUAAA